CUCCUUUUCAAAGAUGGUUUUAUUGUCCAGAGUCACGAAAUGCAAACUCACUUAUGCUCAGCUCUUCUAACAGACUUUCUAAAACUAUCAGGUCUUUCUUUUCUCAAGCGAUUUUUUUAACAAAAAUCUGCAUUGUGUUGUUGUUGGAGGAUUUCCAAGAUAAAGACGAUUUUGCCUGGAACUGAAGUUGGCUGCCUGCUCUUGAAACUUACAAAAGGAAGAAAAAAGAAAAGAAAAGAAAAGAAAAAACUGUUUGACCAGCCAGAAGCUGUUUUUCUCCCAACGCUGAAACCGGUUCCUUAACGUAUUAAAAACCUUGCAACAAACUAGUCUACACAAUUCUCAAUAUGCGCAGUUCAGCGCAGGGGAUAGGAAGAGAAACAGCAAGCGCAGCAGACGCGGUUACACGAGAUGUGGCCUAACUCUAACUCCGUUGACUUUGUUGGACUCUCCUGCUUUACACCCCUAUUUCAUCUGCAUUGCGCUGGAGUUUGUAGAGACUGUAAUUUGUAUGACGUAUUCUGCACCUCCCUAUUGAAGUUUUAAUGCAAGAAUUGAGGAAAUGAUUUGUAACACUUCUAUGGCACUUGACAUGUUCAAAACAAUGCACAAACAUUAACUAGUUAAUCUUCACAACUCCCCUAUGAAACAGGUUUCAGAGGAGCAGCCGUGUUAGCCUGUAUUCGCAGAAAGAAAAGGAGGACUUGUGGCACCUUAGAGACUAACCAAUGUAUUUGAGCAUCAGCUUUCGUGAGCUACCGCUCCCUUCAUCGGAUGCAUGUCUUUUCUUAAUAAUUUCAGAAGUGACGGGUCUCCACCUUCAGGAGAUUCUCCCUGAAGCUGAAAGUUGGUAAAGCCAAUCUCAUGUACUGACGCUACUGCUCUGUACUCCUAAUUACACAUAGAGUGAUGAGCACCGUAUAAACCCAGCUUGCCUGGUAAACAGCCAUUGCCGUGUCGUGGUUAACCACAGCAUUAAUAUUAACAUCUGACACUUCAGUCUCUAUGAGGGAUUAUUUUUUUAAUUUAUUAAAGGCUUAGGGGGGAAAACCAUAGGGCUGGAUUCUCAGCUGGUGUAACUGGAUGAAACUCCACAGAAGUCCACGGAGUUGUAACCGUUUACACCUGAAGAGCAUCUGGACAGGAACACUGCAAAUGAUUUUGAGGCAUUUUGGUGAAAAAUGGUCACACAUGGAUACAAACUAUAUUCAGGUUGCAAACGGACUAGGUACUUCAUUACCAUUGACUGUAACAUGGGUUGAAAUGUUAAGUUUUAAAAAUGCAGGAUGAGUAUUUUUAAUAGCAGCAUCUCUCUAGGGAUGGUAUUUAUUUACUUUAGUGCAUGUAAAUAUGCCGGAAUGACAGCCUGGGAAAAUGAAAGCCUCUCUUCAUUCACAGAACAAGUACAGGAGGAGUGUCAGCCUUCUCUCAGUGCUCCACACAUAUGCCUCAACUCGCAGUGGAAGAGGACCAUUUCUAGAGAAUAAGAGGGCUGAUCAGUCUUCAUGCUCAUUUGGCCUUUGUCCUGUUCCCCUCCACGCAUCAAAAGUGCCAACAGCAUUGCUAACAAAUGCAAGUUUUGAUGUGGGGUUUUUGUAUUGUGGACACGUCCACCUGGAAGUCAACUGGGAUCACCAAAUUCAUUUCACACAUCUAAAUAGCCAACAGGAUGGUAACAAUUAUAUACUGAAUUAGAACUGGAAAGCUAGAGGUGAAUGUUUUUAGAUCCUGGGGUCAAUUUCUUGAGUAAUUCACUGAUCUCAUGUGUAUCUUCUCUUUCAUUUGUCAGAGAGAAUGUGCCCCAUCCUCCACAAUGAGCGUCAUUUCUGUAUAGGGAACAGUGAACACAUCAAGUGUCAACUCAGAGUUCACCUGGCAUUCUUCCAUUUGUGGGAGGGGAGUGGACUCAUACGUUUUCCCACUUACAGAAAAGUUUUGACCCACAGACUUCCAUGGUAUUAUCAAGGAAGAAGGCAUUAUUGAACAGGAGUGAAGGUAUCAGAAUUUGACAUUUAAUAUGUGAUAUGAAACAUAUGUUAGUAAUAUUGAAUAUUUAAAUCCAAAUUUAAUAUACAAUAUGCAUAUUAGUAAUCAAAAUACUGCAUCACAAUAAGUGAAAUGUGGAAAGAUGCCUGUGUAUCCUGUUGUAUAUUUUACUAUAAAACAAUUAUAAUCAUGAAUUUAUGUGUUUAUUUUCAUGAGCAGCAUGAAAAUAGAGAUAUGUAAGAUUAUACAGUUGUUUUUGAAAUUCAAAAGGUUUUAUUUAUCAUGAAGCCAAAAAUUAAUACAAAUGAAAGUUUGCAUGCUAAAACAGAACUCUGAACUGUGAAACACCUUGCCCUGUUUAUAUACAUUUGUAAAUUGUAUGCAUAU